rnacentral:rRNA from 1 species
GGCUUAGACAGCUAGGAUGUUGGCUUAGAAGCAGCCAUCAUUUAAAGAAAGCGUAAUAGCUCACUAGUCGAGUCGGUCUGCGCGGAAGAUGUAACGGGGCUAAAAUAUAGCACCGAAGCUGCGGCAUCAGGCGUAUCACACAUACGCCUUACGAUUAACACCUUGCGAAGCAAGGUGGUCAAGCGACUUACACGUUGAGGUGUGAGCGGGAGGGAUAAUCGAAGAGAGGAAUAUGUGUGAUACGUCUGUUGGGUAGGGGAGCGUUGUGUAAGCUGAAGAAGGUGGUUCGAGAGGGCUGCUGGAGGUAUCACAAGUGCGAAUGCUGACAUAAGUAACGAUAAAGCGGGUGAAAGGCCCGCUCGCCGGAAGACCAAGGUUUCCUGUCCAACGUUAAUCGGGGCAGGGUGAGUCGGCCCCUAAGGCGAGGCUGAGAAGCGUAGUCGAUGGGAAAUGGGUUAAUAUUCCCAUACUUGGAUAAACUGCGAUGUGGGGACGGAGCAGGUUAGGUUAGCGUACGGAUGGAAGAGUACGUUUAAGUUAGUAGGUGGGUGAGUUAGGCAAAUCCGGCUCACCAUUAACACUGAGAGAUGAUGACGAGGCUCUACGGAGCUGAAGUAACUGAUACCCAACUUCCAGGAAAAGCCACUAAGCGAGAGGUUUAUCUAAACCGUACUGGAAACCGACACAGGUGGUCAGGUAGAGAAUACUAAGGCGCUUGAGAGAACUCGGGUGAAGGAACUAGGCAAAAUAGCACCGUAACUUCGGGAGAAGGUGCGCUGGCGUAGUGUGAAGUUCUUUGCGAAUGGAGCAUGAACCAGUCGAAGCGACGAGCUGGCUGCAACUGUUUAAUAAAAACACAGCACUCUGCAAACACGAAAGUGGACGUAUAGGGUGUGAUGCCUGCCCGGUGCUGGAAGGUUAAUUGAUGGUGUUAUCGAAAGAGAAGCACCUGAUCGAAGCCCCAGUAAACGGCGGCCGUAACUAUAACGGUCCUAAGGUAGCGAAAUUCCUUGUCGGGUAAGUUCCGACCUGCACGAAUGGCAUAAUGAUGGCCAGGCUGUCUCCACCCGAGACUCAGUGAAAUUGAAAUCGCCGUGAAGAUGCGGUGUACCCGCGGCUAGACGGAAAGACCCCGUGAACCUUUACUAUAGCUUGACACUGAACCUUGAAUUUUAAUGUGUAGGAUAGGUGGGAGACAAAGAAGCGGUAACGCCAGUUAUCGUGGAGUCGGUGUUGAAAUACCACCCUUUAACGUUUGAUGUUCUAACGAGGCGCCUGGGACAGGUGUUCGGACAGUGUCUGGUGGGUAGUUUGACUGGGGCGGUCUCCUCCCAAAGCGUAACGGAGGAGCACGAAGGUUGGCUAAUGACGGUCGGACAUCGUCAGGUUAGUGCAAUGGUAGAAGCCAGCUUAACUGCGAGACGGACAAGUCGAGCAGGUACGAAAGUAGGUCAUAGUGAUCCGGUGGUUCUGAAUGGAAGGGCCAUCGCUCAACGGAUAAAAGGUACUCCGGGGAUAACAGGCUGAUACCGCCCAAGAGUUCAUAUCGACGGCGGUGUUUGGCACCUCGAUGUCGGCUCAUCACAUCCUGGGGCUGAAGUAGGUCCCAAGGGUAUGGCUGUUCGCCAUUUAAAGUGGUACGCGAGCUGGGUUUAGAACGUCGUGAGACAGUUCGGUCCCUAUCUGCCGUGGGCGUUGGAGGAUUGAGGGGGGUUGCUCCUAGUACGAGAGGACCGGAGUGAACGCACCGCUGGUGUUCCAGUUGUUUCGCCAGAAGCAUAGCUGGGUAGCUAAGUGCGGAAGAGAUAAGUGCUGAAAGCAUCUAAGCACGAAACUUGCCCCGAGAUGAGUUCUCCCUGACAUAGAGUCAGUAAGGGUUGUUGAAGACGACGACGUAGAUAGGUGGGGUGUGUAAGCGGUGUGAGCCGUUGAGCUAACCCAUACUAAUUGCCCGAGAGGCUUAACUAUACAACGCUGAAGGGUUUU